rnacentral:rRNA from 1 species
AUUGAACGCUGGCGGCAUGCUUUACACAUGCAAGUCGAACGGUAACAGCACUUCGGUGGCUGACGAGUGGCGCACGGGUGCGUAAUACAUCGGAACGUGCCUAGUAGUGGGGGAUAACUACUCGAAAGAGUAGCUAAUACCGCAUGAGAUCUAAGGAUGAAAGCAGGGGACCUUCGGGCCUUGCGCUACUAGAGCGGCUGAUGGCAGAUUAGGUAGUUGGUGGGAUAAAAGCUUACCAAGCCGACGAUCUGUAGCUGGUCUGAGAGGACGACCAGCCACACUGGGACUGAGACACGGCCCAGACUCCUACGGGAGGCAGCAGUGGGGAAUUUUGGACAAUGGGCGCAAGCCUGAUCCAGCAAUGCCGCGUGCAGGAUGAAGGCCUUCGGGCUGUAAACUGCUUUUGUACGGAACGAAAAGCCCUCUUCUAAUACAGGAGGGUCAUGACGGUACCGUAAGAAUAAGCACCGGCUAACUACGUG